rnacentral:rRNA from 1 species
ACAUGCAAGUCGACGAGAAAGCUUCUUCGGAAAUGAUUAAAGUGGCGAACGGGUGAGUAAUAUAUGGAUAAUCUGCCCUUAGAUGGGGGACAACCAACUGAAAAGUUGGCUAAUACCGCAUAAGACCACAAUUUCGUAUGAAAUAGGGGUUAAAGAUUUAUUGUCUAAGGAGGAGUUCAUAUCUGAUUAGCUUGUUGGUGGGGUAAAGGCCUACCAAGGCUGUGAUCAGUAGCUGGUCUGAGAGGAUGAUCAGCCACACUGGGACUGAGAUACGGCCCAGACUCCUACGGGAGGCAGCAGUAGGGAAUUUUGCGCAAUGGGGGAAACCCUGACGCAGCUACGCCGUGUGAGUGAUGAAGGCCCUAGGGUUGUAAAGCUCUGUUUUUGGGGAACAAACAAAUGAGGGUACCCAAAGAGGAAGAACCGGCUAACUUCGUGCCAGCAGCCGCGGUAAGACGAGGGGUUCAAGCGUUGUCCGGAAUCAUUGGGCGUAAAGCGGAAGUAGGCGGUUUUGUUAGUCAGAAGUGAAAGCCUUGGGCUUAACCCAAGAAGUGCUUUUGAUACUGCAAAACUUGAGUAUGAGAGAGGAUGGUAGAAUUCUUGGUGUAGUGGUGAAAUACGUAGAUAUCAGGAGGAAUACCGGAGACGAAGGUGGCUAUCUGGCUCAAGACUGACGUUGAUAUCCGAAAGUGUGGGGAGCAAACAGGAUUAGAUACCCUGGUAGUCCACACCGUAAACGAUGGACACUUGGUGUUAGUAGUAUUUGACUCUAUUAGUGCCGUAGUUAACGCGUUAAGUGUCCCGCCUGGGGAGUACGGUCGCAAGAUUAAAACUCAAAGAAAUUGACGGGGGCCCGCACAAGCGGUGGAGCAUGUGGUUUAAUUCGAUGAUACGCGCAAAACCUUACCUAGGUUUGACAUCUAGAAGAGAUUCCUAGAAAUAGGAUCGCCUUCGGGCUUCUAGACAGG